GGCCCCCCUGUCUUAAGAGGACUCUCCAUGAAAUUGAAUUCGUAGUGAAGAUGCUACGUCCAUAUUGUAAGACGAAAAGUCCCCAUUGAGCUUUACUAAAGACUUAUAUGGCUCGAAUAACUUAAAUAAAAAGUUUAGAUAAUGUGGGAUCUGUUUUUGGUUAAUGAGACACCACUCUUUUAUUUUAAGAGAACUAACCUUAUAGGGAGAAUGUAAGUUAGAUAGUUUGGUUGGGGCGACCACCUUUUAAAAGGUAACGAAGGUGAGCUUAAGGUCCGUAGUUAAUAGCUAGAGGCCUGACUGCAAGGGGGACAUCCCGAGCAGACACAUCCUUAAGG
rnacentral:rRNA from 1 species